AAUGACACCUCUGGACCAGAUUUUUUUCCAUAAAGUAGUACUCGUGACCGCUUUUCCAAUCGACCUUCUGCAAUGAGCACUUCAUUUCCUCACAGCGUCCAUCCAGUGUGUGGACCACCGUGAUGUCGAUCCAUUGCUGAUGGUGCUGCACCUGCUCCUCGCAAGUUUUCUCUUGAAUGGUGACGAGUGGUAAACGUCUUCGUCAAAUGUUUAGGUAGUUUGAUUGUUUCCAGUUGUGCGAGGAGUGUUCUGAGAUUACGUUUAGGGGUUAUCUUGUUGCGUGUUCUGAACGACGAUGGGGACUUUGUGGGUAGCUACGUUUGAAUCUACUCUAGUUUCUGGUCUGCCCGGCUGUGUAAUCCCUGGAAGUGAUUCCCAGCACAGGAUUAAAGUUAGCAAUUGGGCUCCUCCCCUGGCAUUAAAGUCUAGGAGAGUUUUUGUCUCUGCGCAGCCGUCAUCCUCCCAAGGUGAGGAAUCUAGCUCUGUUGACAAAGUAUCCGAUUCAAGCAAUCAAGAUACAUAUUAUAGUAGCUCCGAGGCAAUUAUCAGUGCUGCAGGUUCAGGUUCUGGAACUAAAGACUUAGAUUCUCUACUCCCCUCCAGAAAACAGGGAAAUGAAGUGGACCCAAAACCUCAAGGAAGUUCAGCUCAGUCUGCUCUCGAGAGAGCGAUGGCUUACAAAAAGAUGAAAGGGCAGGGCGCAUCAUCAAAAUCUAGCCCUGCACCUCAAACUAAACCCUCUUCACCUCCUAUGCCUCCUAGCGGUCCAAUUAGAGUUGAGGUGCUGACUGGCAAGCCAAUUCAAUCAAGUAGAUCUUCGUCAGGUUUGGACUUGGAACUAACUAGAUCUUUGAAUUUCGAUUCCGCUAGUUCUAGUAUAGGUUCGGGGUCUGCUUCUCCACAGGGAGGGGAGCAAUCCGAGGUAGUAGUGUCCAGUUCAGUUCCCAAAUCUGAAAACAAUCAGAUGGAGGGGAGUUUAGCAGCGCAGUUGUCAUUUGAGAAAGCGAAGGCUUAUAAACUGCAGCAAUCUGAGAUGAUUGCUGCUCUGAACGAGAAAAAGCCAGAACCUGCAGCCCCGCCACCCAUCGUUGAAGAUGAGGACAAGGACAAGAAUGUCGUGGAAGUUGAGAUUUACACGCGGGAUGGAAUUGUCAAGCGGAGGGUAUUAAAGCCUGAAACAGCCUUUGCCAAUGUGAAAAAUUACAAGGCCAAAGGUGUGUCAACAAUGGACUUUGUGGGGCUAGGGUUUGCGGACAAGAAGAGCACGAAUAGGCCCGCUGGAUUGAGCGAAUCAUUUGAAGCUCCUUCAGGUCCUUUGCCGGAAGUGGAAAUGUUGACGAGGGAUGCGGGUGUGGCUGAUCCGGAAGCCACGGCUGAUAGUGAAAAUGCAUACAAACCUCGGGUCGCAACUUGGGGAAUGUUUCCUCGGCCUGCGGACAUAUCCAAAGCAUAUGGAGGAGGUCGCAACAUCAAGCCUGGUCAGAAGCUUGAAACCGAAGAAGAGAGGAUAGCAAGAGAGACUAAGACGAAGAAGUUGCUAGAUGAUUAUAAGAAGAAAGUGGGUUUAAAUGUAUCUCCCAAGGUCAAAGCUAUGUGUGAGAUGAACAUGAAGCAGGGGCAGAAUUUGAUGGACAGAGGCCGGUUGGGAGAGGCUCAAGCGGCAUUCUUAAGCGUAAUGGAGGAGAUGCCUUUUCCGUUGGCGAUUACCAGAAAGUGAAGAAAUCUAAAUAUACUGGGUUUGCAGAGCGAAUUGCAUGGAAUGGCAGCCCUGCAAGAGGCUGUCUGUCUGGAUUCUUCCAACAGAUCGGAUGAAGCGAAAGUCAAGUAUGAGAAACUGGUGUCUCACCCUAACGGGGCAGUUCGCAAGAAGGCCCGGCAGUUACUUUUUGGUUUCCAGGCUGCCGUAAAGCUGAAAGUAAAAUCACGCUACGACUGGGACAGCUCCACCUACCGCAAGUACUUCGACGCUUUUGCUGAUGGAUACAACACUAUGUACAAAAACACUGAAGAACCUGCUACUUUUGAGGAGACGCUCAUGCAAACCGUACCGUAUGCUCUCCUGCUCAUAUUCCCAAUCGUCCUCAUCUUUACACUUGCUGUGCUAAAGAACGUUUGAAAGCCUCUGUGACAGUUAAUGUAGUUGGAUGGAUUCUGAAACGAAUUAAAUGAAGUUCGAACAUGAUUUGCUUCAAGUCGUGUUCGGCUACUUUUUGUAUCAUGGAUAUUAGAAAUUGAUACAUGUCAGACUUAGAAAUGCUGAUGUGCAUCAUUUCAAUGGAUGUUAAACAAGUUGGCAUCUCAAUUGCACUUCGUAGAA